rnacentral:misc_RNA from 1 species
GUUUGAAUUAAGUUCUAAUAGUUUCCUGCAUGCAUCCCUCCAAAUAAAAAUUGAUUUGUUACAUUUAAUUGAUAUUAUAUAAUAUGCUAAGAAGCUAAGAGCAGUUUUCUCCAACAAAAACAUACUGAACAGGCUUUACAGGUGGCAGGGCAUUUAUUUCUUAUUAGGUACGGCACCACAAUGAUCCUACAGUAUGCAUCUCCCAAUGCGUCAAGCUUCCUACAUCAAAUGAUAGUCCAUCACACCGUAGUGCACACUAUAUACACAUAUAAGCAAACCACAAGCAAAUUCCACGAAAACACAUGGUCAGUAUGCUACAAUAAGACUGCCAUAUUGGUUUCCCCUAUACCGUUGAACAAGACAUGAGGUUAACAAGUACUUCUAAACUAUUAUCUACGGUGUUUGAACCCUGCCAGAAGCCAAUAUUCUUCAAAGCAAAUUGCGGCUCACUGCAUAUUCACAGCUGUCAAUAACCACUCCCCAUGUACUCCUAACAAAUCACAAUGAUACACUAGUGUAUAUCUGUUUGAUAUUCACAAAGCUCCACAGCUUUAAAUUGUAGAGUCAAAUGGCUGAACUUCUCUAAUGUCACAGUUUUAACUUAACACUGAGGAGGAGAGCCUGGCUCAGAAUCACAAACAGAUGCAAAUGACAUUGUGUCUUCCUUUGUUAUGGCCACAAAGUUCAGUGGUGCAGUAGACAACCUUCUCAUUUCCUUGAAGUAUCCAUUUUGACGUCCAGAAUAAGAUCUAGGUGUGAGGAGUUCCGGAGUUGCACCACCAACUGAGUUCCGACGAGGUGUGGGUGUCAUGGAGCCAUUUCCAUUUGAACUAUAACCAUUUGGUUUCCUAAAGCUGUUUGCUUUUCGUGGACUGGGUUUAGAACCAUACAUGGCUUCCUUCUCUGUUAGCAGCAAAUCUUGGAGUUUCUUCUGCUCCCUGCAUCUCUUUUUCUCCUCUUCUCUCUGUUGUCUGGCCAGUUUGUAAUCCUGCAAUAUUGACACUAAUCUUACCCCAUCAUAGAGAAAUGACGUCUUCUUUUCAUCUUCCCAAGCAAGAGUUUUAUUUAUCAGAUUGUUGACCAUUGCUGGAAUUUUGCUAACAGUAACUCGAGCUCGUUCUGCACAUUUAAGGUUAAUGUGUGCACCCCUCCCAGCAUUGUACCGGUUGCUAUCUUGAUUAUACUCUUCAAGCCAUUUUUCCUCCUCACAAGCCAAAAGCCACCGAUCAGUCCUAUCCAUAACUUCUUUUCGGUUCAUAGCUUCCUCUUUAGCUUUGACUAUCUGGGCUUCAAUGCUUGCUAAAAGUUCAGAAGGAUCCACUAAACCAGAAUCUAUUAAUGCAAUGGAUUUCUCAGUAGCAGUACUUGUAUCAGGUUCAAUAUGAGUCAUUUUGCAUAUCUCCUCCAAUUCUGAUCUCCUUUUCAUGACAAGUUCUUUCAUUCUACUCGCUUUCAAUUUAGUAAGCCUCUCCACUUCUGCUGAUGCCUGUUCAAUCAUCUCUGUUGAGAGAACACCUGAUUCAAUGACCUCAGAUUCAGAUGAUCCAAGAAUAGAAGUAAUUCUCGAGAAGGUAUUUUUCUCUUCUUUUGGUGAGUCCAUCAAAUUCCAAAGUUCAAAUAAUGAUGCCACAAUAUCUUUCAGCUUCUGGAUUCGAGCUUUUCUUUCUAACUUCAACUUGAUAAUGGCUUGUUCUAGACCUUCCAGAGUGCUAUUGCUUAUAUUAGUGGAUUGUUCUUGGUUUGCUCCAUGCAAACUUGGAUGCACAUCACUAACAGUCUUGCCAAAAUCCAACCCAAGCACACCACACAGAGAAUGCACCUCAUUCACAUAGUCAAAGACCUUAUGGAGACGAUCAGACUUCUCCUUUUGAAGGGUGCGAAGAUGUGUUUGAUAUUCAUUAAGCUUUCUUAGCGAUAAAUCUUGCUCAUCUAGAGUUAAAGAACUCAUCAUAGAAUUGUUGAGAUUGUUGUAUCCAGAAAUUUCCCCACUGAUCUUUUCAAUUUGUGCCUUUAUAUCUGCAAAUUGCUUCAUCCGUUCCUCUUUCUUUGUCCUCAGAUCUUCCACCAUUGGAGUAACAGAUGCAAGUUUCUCUUUCAAUGAUGGCAACUUCUUCUCUGUCUGAGUCACUAAGUGAACAUUAAGUUCCCCAAGGGCAGCCAUGAGUGUUGCAAGUUCAGCUUCCUUGGCUGCGACGAAUUGAUUAAGGCGUGCUUUGGCGUUGGCAGCUUCCUCAACCUUUCUCCGAUAAACUUCCAAGCAUUCUCUCUCCAACUCCAACAGCAUGCGGUCCUUAUCUGCUUCACUCUCACCAAUGUCAUUCCAAAUUUGCUGAAGCUCUCUGAGUAAAGCAUUGCAGCUAGUGCUUGUACGCUCACUGAUAGUAGGACUCCCAAUAGCCAGCAUUUCCACCAGCCCCUCUUUCUCCUUCUCACUUUUAGUGUAUAGACUCCCUUUCUCUAAAAAUUUAAGCAAGAAAUGCAACUACAGCUUCUCUCAAAAACAGAGCUCAAGACUGGAAUAAAAAAAAAACCAAAAAGCAAAAACUAAAACUUAACACUCAAAAAAGACAAGAUAAAGACUAGAAAGAAGAAGAAGAAGGAAAGAAGCAAGUGGGUUUUUGCUAAAAAGUCAAAAAGAAACCAAAGAACUAAGAGGCAUUGCUUGAAACAACCUUAGCUUCCUCAGAUCUGAACCCCAAAUAACACCAACCAUUCCUCUCUCUCUCUCUCUCUCU